rnacentral:rRNA from 1 species
GUGAGGAAUAUUGGACAAUGGGCGCAAGCCUGAUCCAGCCAUGCCGCGUGCAGGAAGACGCAUCUAUGGUGUGUAAACUGCUUUUGUACGGGAAGAAACACUCCCUCGUGAGGGAGCUUGACGGUACCGUAAGAAUAAGGAUCGGCUAACUCCGUGCCAGCAGCCGCGGUAAUACGGAGGAUCCAAGCGUUAUCCGGAAUCAUUGGGUUUAAAGGGUCCGUAGGCGGAUUAAUAAGUCAGUGGUGAAAGCCCAUCGCUCAACGAUGGAACGGCCAUUGAUACUGUUAGACUUGAAUUACAAGGAAGUAACUAGAAUAUGUAGUGUAGCGGUGAAAUGCUUAGAUAUUACAUGGAAUACCAAUUGCGAAGGCAGGUUACUACUUGUGGAUUGACGCUGAUGGACGAAAGCGUGGGGAGCGAACAGGAUUAGAUACCCGAGUAGUCC